UACGAAGGGGCUAGCGUUGCUCGGAAUUACUGGGCGUAAAGCGCACGUAGGCGGCUUCUUAAGUCGGUGGUGAAAUCCUGGAGCUCAACUCCAGAACUGCCUUCGAUACUGAGAGCUCGAGUCCGGGAGAGGUGAGUGGAACUGCGAGUGUAGAGGUGAAAUUCGUAGAUAUUCGCAAGAACACCAGUGGCGAAGGCGGCUCACUGGCCCGGUACUGACGCGUGAGG
rnacentral:rRNA from 1 species